GUCUUUUUGAUAAAUAAUUUAAAGUCUAAUCUGCCCCCUGAAAUUAUUUUAAAGGGCUGCGGUAUUCUAACCGUACAAAGGUAGCAUAAUAAUUAGGUUUUUAAUUGAAAUCUUGAAUGAAUGAUUGGACGAGAUAUGAGCUGUUUUAAAAUAUAAAUUUGAAUUUAAUUUUUUAGUUAAAAAGCUAAAAUAUUUUUAAAAGACGAGAAGACCCUAUAAAUCUUUAUAAUUUAUUUAUUUUAAUUAAUUAUUUUAAUAAAAUUAAUUUAAAUAACAAAAUUAUUUUAUUGGGGUGAUAUAAAAAUUUUUUAAACUUUUUAUAAUUAUAAUACUAUGAUUAAAGAUUUUUAAAAUAUAUGAUCUAUUAAUAAUAAUUAAAAGAAAAAGAUACUUUAGGGAUAACAGCGUAAUUUUAAUAUUAAGUUCAUAUUAUUAUUAAAGAUUGCGACCUCGAUGUUGGAUUAAAAUUUAAUUUAAAUGCAAAAGUUUAAAAAUUAAGUCUGUUCGACUUUUAAAAUUUU
rnacentral:rRNA from 1 species